rnacentral:lncRNA from 1 species
UGGUAUUUCAGGACUUCUUGGAUCAAGUUGGUGGCUUGGGGAGAUUUCAGAUCCUUCAGAUGGUUUUUCUUAUCAUCUCCACCUUUAUAGUUUGCCCUCGUGUUGUAUGGAGAAUUUCACUGCAUUCAUCCUGGUCACCACUGCUAGGUGCACAUCAUAGACAAUGUCAUCGUCUUGGACGAAGAAACUGUGAUCCUCAGCCAAGAUGCCCUCCUGAGAAUCUCUAUCUCACUGGACUCAAACCUGAGGCCACAGAAACGUUGUCACUUCAUCCAUCCCCAGUGGCAGCUCCUUCACCUGAAUGGGACAUUCCUCAAUAUGAAUGAACCAGACAUGGAACCGUGUGUGGACAGCAGGGUGUACAACAGAAGCUCCUUCCUCUCCACCAUCGUGGGGACCUGGUAUGUGGAUCUCAGUCACUGAAUUUAGUGGCUACAUUCUUAUUCAU